GAUGAACGCUGGCGGCGUGCCUAAUACAUGCAAGUCGAGCGAACGGACGAGAAGCUUGCUUCUCUGAUGUUAGCGGCGGACGGGUGAGUAACACGUGGAUAACCUACCUAUAAGACUGGGAUAACUUCGGGAAACCGGAGCUAAUACCGGAUAAUAUUUUGAACCGCAUGGUUCAAAAGUGAAAGACGGUCUUGCUGUCACUUAUAGAUGGAUCCGCGCUGCAUUAGCUAGUUGGUAAGGUAACGGCUUACCAAGGCAACGAUGCAUAGCCGACCUGAGAGGGUGAUCGGCCACACUGGAACUGAGACACGGUCCAGACUCCUACGGGAGGCAGCAGUAGGGAAUCUUCCGCAAUGGGCGAAAGCCUGACGGAGCAACGCCGCGUGAGUGAUGAAGGUCUUCGGAUCGUAAAACUCUGUUAUUAGGGAAGAACAUAUGUGUAAGUAACUGUGCACAUCUUGAUGGUACCUAAUCAGAAAGCCACGGCUAACUACGUGCCAGCAGCCGCGGUAAUACGUAGGUGGCAAGCGUUAUCCGGAAUUAUUGGGCGUAAAGCGCGCGUAGGCGGUUUUUUAAGUCUGAUGUGAAAGCCCACGGCUCAACCGUGGAGGGUCAUUGGAAACUGGAAAACUUGAGUGCAGAAGAGGAAAGUGGAAUUCCAUGUGUAGCGGUGAAAUGCGCAGAGAUAUGGAGGAACACCAGUGGCGAAGGCGACUUUCUGGUCUGUAACUGACGCUGAUGUGCGAAAGCGUGGGGAUCAAACAGGAUUAGAUACCCUGGUAGUCCACGCCGUAAACGAUGAGUGCUAAGUGUUAGGGGGUUUCCGCCCCUUAGUGCUGCAGCUAACGCAUUAAGCACUCCGCCUGGGGAGUACGACCGCAAGGUUGAAACUCAAAGGAAUUGACGGGGACCCGCACAAGCGGUGGAGCAUGUGGUUUAAUUCGAAGCAACGCGAAGAACCUUACCAAAUCUUGACAUCCUUUGACAACUCUAGAGAUAGAGCUUUCCCCUUCGGGGGACAAAGUGACAGGUGGUGCAUGGUUGUCGUCAGCUCGUGUCGUGAGAUGUUGGGUUAAGUCCCGCAACGAGCGCAACCCUUAAGCUUAGUUGCCAUCAUUAAGUUGGGCACUCUAAGUUGACUGCCGGUGACAAGCCGGAGGAAGGUGGGGGUGACGUCAAAUCAUCAUGCCCCUUAUGAUUUGGGCUACACACGUGCUACAAUGGACAAUACAAAGGGCAGCGAAACCGCGAGGUCAAGCAAAUCCCAUAAAGUUGUUCUCAGUUCGGAUUGUAGUCUGCAACUCGACUACAUGAAGCUGGAAUCGCUAGUAAUCGUAGAUCAGCAUGCUACGGUGAAUACGUUCCCGGGUCU
rnacentral:rRNA from 1 species